rnacentral:rRNA from 1 species
AUUGAACGCUGGCGGCAGGCCUAACACAUGCAAGUCGAACGAGUGGCGGACGGGUGAGUAAUGUCUGGGAAACUGCCUGAUGGAGGGGGCUAACUACUGGAAACGGUAGCUAAUACCGCAUACCAUCGGAUGUGCCCAGGUGGGAUUAGCUAGUAGGUGGGGUAAAGGCUCACCUAGGCGACGAUCCCUAGCUGGUCUGAGAGGAUGACCAGCCACACUGGGACUGAGACACGGUCCAGACUCCUACGGGAGGCAGCAGUAGGGAAUAUUGCGCAAUGGGCGCAAGCCUGAUGGAGCCAUGCCGCGUGUAUGAAGAAGGCCUUCGGGUUGUAAAGUACUUUCGGCGGGGAGGCGUUACCCACAGAAGAAGCACCGGCUAACUCCGUGCCAGCAGCCGCGGUAAUUC